AAUUUGAAGAUGGUAACCUUGGGUUUGGCUCUUGUCUAUGUUCCUUGGAACAGGACGUCAUAGAGGGUGAGAAUCCCGUCUGAUGAGAUGCCCAUUCCUAUSUAAGGUKCUAUYGAAGAGUCGAGUUGUUUGGGAAUGCAGCUCUAAGUGGGUGGUAAAUUCCAUCUAAAGCUAAAUAUUGGCGAGAGACCGAUAGCGAACAAGUACAGUGAUGGAAAGAUGAAAAGAACUUUGAAAAGAGAGUGAAAAAGUACGUGAAAUUGUUGAAAGGGAAGGGCAUUAGAUCAGACUUGGUGUUUUACGAUUAUCUUCUCUUCUUGAGUUGUGCACUCGUAUUUCACUGGGCCAGCAUCGAUUCGGAUGGCAAGAUAAUGGCAGUUGAAUGUGGCUUCACUUCGGUGGAGUGUUAUAGCUUCUGCUGAUAUUGCCUGUCUGGAUCGAGGGCUGCGUCUUUUGACUAGGAUGCUGGCG
rnacentral:rRNA from 1 species